AUUGAACGCUGGCGGCAUGCUUUACACAUGCAAGUCGAACGGUAGAGGGGGCAACCCCUUGAGAGUGGCGAACGGGUGAGUAAUGCAUCGGAACGUGCCCAGUCGUGGGGGAUAACGCAGCGAAAGCUGUGCUAAUACCGCAUACGAUCUCUGGAUGAAAGCGGGGGACCGAAAGGCCUCGCGCGAUUGGAGCGGCCGAUAUCAGAUUAGCUAGUUGGAGAGGUAAAGGCUCACCAAGGCGACGAUCUGUAGCUGGUCUGAGAGGACGACCAGCCACACUGGAACUGAGACACGGUCCAGACGCCUACGGGAGGCAGCAGUGGGGAAUUUUGGACAAUGGGCGAAAGCCUGAUCCAGCAAUGCCGCGUGCAGGAUGAAGGCCUUCGGGUUGUAAACUGCUUUUGUACGGAACGAAACGGUGAGCUCUAAUACAGUUUGCUAAUGACGGUACCGUAAGAAUAAGCACCGGCUAACUACGUGCCAGCCGCCGCAGUAA
rnacentral:rRNA from 1 species